UACGAACUGUGCGAACGUUAUUCGGAAUCACUGGGCGUAAAGGGCGCGUAGGCGGCCUGCUAAGUCGAACGUGAAAUCCCUGGGCUCAACCCAGGAACUGCGUCCGAUACUGGUUGGCUUGAAUUCGGGAGAGGGAUGCGGAAUUCCAGGUGUAGCGGUGAAAUGCGUAGAUAUCUGGAGGAACACCGGUGGCGAAGGCGGCAUCCUGGACCGAGAUUGACGCUGAGGCGCGAAAGCCAGGGGAGCAAACGGG
rnacentral:rRNA from 1 species